rnacentral:lncRNA from 1 species
UUACUUGUUAUUGUAUAUAAUUGAUUUUUUAUAUAUUUAUUUUUGUUAUUUUUGCUCGUAUUAUUUUUACUCGCAUUAUCGUAAUUGUUAUUCCGUCACAUCAAUUUUUACCCAAAUUCGUAAAAAAGGAAAAUUUUGGAAAUAAAGGCAAUACUCGAUACUUGGGAUCUUCGAGAGAAUUGGGCCCUAACGUGCUGGGUUCUAAUUUUCUGUUGAAUCUAAAUACUCGAGAAUGCUCUUUAAUAAAAAACAUAAAUAAAAACUCAUUAUCGGGAUUUCAAUAUGUUGUGUCCUAACGCAUUGGAUAUGACACGUAGUUUUCUCGAUAUGAGGAUUUUUCGAAAGUAAAGGCAAUAUUCCGUAUUUAGAAAAUUCGAGAAAUCGUGC